GGUGGAGCAUGUGGUUUAAUUCGAAGCAACGCGAAGAACCUUACCUACUCUUGACAUCCAGAGAACUUAGCAGAGAUGCUUUGGUGCCUUCGGGAACUCUGAGACAGGUGCUGCAUGGCUGUCGUCAGCUCGUGUUGUGAAAUGUUGGGUUAAGUCCCGUAACGAGCGCAACCCUUGUCCUUAUUUGCCAGCACUUCGGGUGGGAACUCUAAGGAGACUGCCGGUGACAAACCGGAGGAAGGUGGGGACGACGUCAAGUCAUCAUGGCCCUUACGAGUAGGGCUACACACGUGCUACAAUGGCCGGUACAGAGGGCUGCGAACUUGCGAGAGUAAGCUAAUCCCAGAAAACCGGUCGUAGUCCGGAUUGCAGUCUGCAACUCGACUGCAUGAAGUCGGAAUCGCUAGUAAUCGCGAAUCAGCAUGUCGCGGUGAAUACGUUCCCGGGCCUUGUACACACCGCCCGUCACACCAUGGGAGUGGACUUCACCAGAAGUAGCUAGCUUAACCUUCGGGAGGGCGGUUACCACGGUGGGGUUCAUGACUGGGGUGAAGUCGUAACAAGGUAACC
rnacentral:rRNA from 1 species